GUGCUGAUAUUCAUGGCUUCAGCGCUCCUAGGACAUUUGGCUUUACACUGGGACAUGUAGUAGAUGAAAUACAGAGAAAUGAGAAGCCCGUGGUGGCAGCAAUCCAAGGCAUGGCUUUCGGAGGGGGACUAGAGCUGGCCCUGGGCUGUCACUAUAGGAUAGCCCACUCAGAGAUCAACCUCUAGAAUCCCGUAGACUCUGCAACAAGCCAAUUCAGAGCUUGCCCAACAUGGACACCAUUUUUAGUGAGGCCCUCUUGAAGACGCGGAGGCAGC
rnacentral:sRNA from 1 species